UGGGGAAUAUUGCACAAUGGGCGCAAGCCUGAUGCAGCCAUGCCGCGUGUGUGAAGAAGGCCUUCGGGUUGUAAAGCACUUUCAGCGAGGAGGAAGGUGGUGAACUUAAUACGUUCAUCAAUUGACGUUACUCGCAGAAGAAGCACCGGCUAACUCCGUGCCAGCAGCCGCGGUAAUACGGAGGGUGCAAGCGUUAAUCGGAAUUACUGGGCGUAAAGCGCACGCAGGCGGUUUGUUAAGUCAGAUGUGAAAUCCCCGGGCUCAACCUGGGAACUGCAUCUGAAACUGGCAAGCUAGAGUCUCGUAGAGGGGGGUAGAAUUCCAGGUGUAGCGGUGAAAUGCGUAGAGAUCUGGAGGAAUACCGGUGGCGAAGGCGGCCCCCCUGGACGAAGACUGACGCUCAGGUGCGAAAGCGUGGGGCAGCAAACAGGAUUAGAUACCCUGGUAGUCCACGCUGUAAACGAUGUCGAUUUUGGAGGUUGUGCCCCUUGAGGCGUGGCUUCCGGAGCUAACGCGUUAAAUCGACCGCCUGGGGAGUACGGCCGCAAGGUUAAAACUCAAAGG
rnacentral:rRNA from 1 species